rnacentral:rRNA from 1 species
GUGAGUCAUCGAAUCUUUGAACGCACCUUGCGCUCCUUGGUAUUCCUUGGAGCAUGCCUGUUUGAGUAUCAUGAAAUCUUCAAAGUAAAUCUUUUGUUAAUUCAAUUGGUUUCUACUUUGGUAUUGGAGGUUAUUGCAGCUUCACACCUGCUCCUCUUUGUGCAUUAGCUGGAUCUCAGUGUUAUGCUUGGUUCCACUCAGCGUGAUAAGUUAUCUAUCGCUGAGGACACUGUAAAAGGUGGCCAAGGUAAAUGCAGAUGAACCGCUUCUAAUAGUCCAUUGACUUGGACAAAAUUAAAUUUUUAUGAUCUGAUCUCAAAUCAGGUAGGACUACCCGCUGAACUUAA